rnacentral:rRNA from 20 species
GGGUUGUGAGGUUAAGCGACUAAGCGUACACGGUGGAUGCCCUGGCAGUCAGAGGCGAUGAAGGGCGUGCUAAUCUGCGAUAAGCGCCGGUAAGGUGAUAUGAACCGUUAUAACCGGCGAUACCCGAAUGGGGAAACCCAGUGUGACUCGUCACACUAUCAUUAACUGAAUCCAUAGGUUAAUGAGGCGAACCGGGGGAACUGAAACAUCUAAGUACCCCGAGGAAAAGAAAUCAACCGAGAUUCCCCCAGUAGCGGCGAGCGAACGGGGAGGAGCCCAGAGCCUGAAUCAGCAUGUGUGUUAGUGGAAGCGUCUGGAAAGGCGCGCGAUACAGGGUGACAGCCCCGUACACAAAAGCGCAUGUGCUGUGAGCUCGAUGAGUAGGGCGGGACACGUGGUAUCCUGUCUGAAUAUGGGGGGACCAUCCUCCAAGGCUAAAUACUCCUGACUGACCGAUAGUGAACCAGUACCGUGAGGGAAAGGCGAAAAGAACCCCGGCGAGGGGAGUGAAAAAGAACCUGAAACCGUGUACGUACAAGCAGUGGGAGCCCCACCACUAAGCCAGUGGUGAACUCCACAUACGCAUCCUUUGCUGAGGAUACGGUUAACGGAGCGAAAGCGACGUUCAACCGCAAAAGAAGCAGAGGGGGCUUAGUGGUGGGGUGACUGCGUACCUUUUGUAUAAUGGGUCAGCGACUUAUAUUCUGUAGCAAGGUUAACCGCAUAGGGGAGCCGGAGGGAAACCGAGUCUUAAUUGGGCGUUAAGUUGCAGGGUAUAGACCCGAAACCCGGUGAUCUAGCCAUGGGCAGGUUGAAGGUUGGGUAACACUAACUGGAGGACCGAACCGACUAAUGUUGAAAAAUUAGCGGAUGACCUGUGGCUGGGGGUGAAAGGCCAAUCAAACCGGGAGAUAGCUGGUUCUCCCCGAAAGCUAUUUAGGUAGCGCCUCGUGAAUUCAUCUCCGGGGGUAGAGCACUGUUUCGGCUAGGGGGCCAUCCCGGCUUACCAACCCGAUGCAAACUGCGAAUACCGGAGAAUGUUAUCACGGGAGACACACGGCGGGUGCUAACGUCCGUCGUGAAGAGGGAAACAACCCAGACCGCCAGCUAAGGUCCCAAAGUCAUGGUUAAGUGGGAAACGAUGUGGGAAGGCCCAGACAGCCAGGAUGUUGGCUUAGAAGCAGCCAUCAUUUAAAGAAAGCGUAAUAGCUCACUGGUCGAGUCGGCCUGCGCGGAAGAUGUAACGGGGCUAAACCAUGCACCGAAGCUGCGGCAGCGACGCUUAUGCGUUGUUGGGUAGGGGAGCGUUCUGUAAGCCUGUGAAGGUGGCCUGUGAGGGUUGCUGGAGGUAUCAGAAGUGCGAAUGCUGACAUAAGUAACGAUAAAGCGGGUGAAAAGCCCGCUCGCCGGAAGACCAAGGGUUCCUGUCCAACGUUAAUCGGGGCAGGGUGAGUCGACCCCUAAGGCGAGGCCGAAAGGCGUAGUCGAUGGGAAACGGGUUAAUAUUCCCGUACUUGGUGUUACUGCGAAGGGGGGACGGAGAAGGCUAUGUUGGCCGGGCGACGGUUGUCCCGGUUUAAGCGUGUAGGUGUGUGUUCCAGGUAAAUCCGGUUCACUUUAACACUGAGGCGUGACGACGAGGCACUACGGUGCUGAAGCAACAAAUGCCCUGCUUCCAGGAAAAGCCUCUAAGCAUCAGGUAACAUCAAAUCGUACCCCAAACCGACACAGGUGGUCAGGUAGAGAAUACCAAGGCGCUUGAGAGAACUCGGGUGAAGGAACUAGGCAAAAUGGUGCCGUAACUUCGGGAGAAGGCACGCUGACACGUAGGUGAAGUGAUUUACUCAUGGAGCUGAAGUCAGUCGAAGAUACCAGCUGGCUGCAACUGUUUAUUAAAAACACAGCACUGUGCAAACACGAAAGUGGACGUAUACGGUGUGACGCCUGCCCGGUGCCGGAAGGUUAAUUGAUGGGGUCAGCGCAAGCGAAGCUCCUGAUCGAAGCCCCGGUAAACGGCGGCCGUAACUAUAACGGUCCUAAGGUAGCGAAAUUCCUUGUCGGGUAAGUUCCGACCUGCACGAAUGGCGUAAUGAUGGCCAGGCUGUCUCCACCCGAGACUCAGUGAAAUUGAACUCGCUGUGAAGAUGCAGUGUACCCGCGGCAAGACGGAAAGACCCCGUGAACCUUUACUAUAGCUUGACACUGAACAUUGAGCCUUGAUGUGUAGGAUAGGUGGGAGGCUUUGAAGUGUGGACGCCAGUCUGCAUGGAGCCGACCUUGAAAUACCACCCUUUAAUGUUUGAUGUUCUAACGUGGACCCGUAAUCCGGGUUGCGGACAGUGUCUGGUGGGUAGUUUGACUGGGGCGGUCUCCUCCUAAAGAGUAACGGAGGAGCACGAAGGUUGGCUAAUCCUGGUCGGACAUCAGGAGGUUAGUGCAAUGGCAUAAGCCAGCUUGACUGCGAGCGUGACGGCGCGAGCAGGUGCGAAAGCAGGUCAUAGUGAUCCGGUGGUUCUGAAUGGAAGGGCCAUCGCUCAACGGAUAAAAGGUACUCCGGGGAUAACAGGCUGAUACCGCCCAAGAGUUCAUAUCGACGGCGGUGUUUGGCACCUCGAUGUCGGCUCAUCACAUCCUGGGGCUGAAGUAGGUCCCAAGGGUAUGGCUGUUCGCCAUUUAAAGUGGUACGCGAGCUGGGUUUAGAACGUCGUGAGACAGUUCGGUCCCUAUCUGCCGUGGGCGCUGGAGAACUGAGGGGGGCUGCUCCUAGUACGAGAGGACCGGAGUGGACGCAUCACUGGUGUUCGGGUUGUCAUGCCAAUGGCACUGCCCGGUAGCUAAAUGCGGAAGAGAUAAGUGCUGAAAGCAUCUAAGCACGAAACUUGCCCCGAGAUGAGUUCUCCCUGAGACUUAGAGUCUCCUGAAGGAACGUUGAAGACGACGACGUUGAUAGGCCGGGUGUGUAAGCGCAGCGAUGCGUUGAGCUAACCGGUACUAAUGAACCGUGAGGCUUAACCUUACAACGCCGAAG